rnacentral:rRNA from 1 species
GUGGAUUAGAUACCCUGGUAGUCCUAGCGGUAAACGUUGUGCACUAGGUGUGGGGUUCCGACGAGGGACUCCGUGCCGCAGCGAAAGCAUUAAGUGCACCACCUGGGGAGUACGGCCGCAAGGCUGAAACUCAAAGGAAUUGACGGGGGCCCGCACAAGCGGUGGAGUAUGUGGUUUAAUUCGACGCAACGCGAAGAACCUUACCUGGGCUUGACAUGCUUAGGACCGGAGUGGAAACAUUCCUUUCCCGCAAGGGACCUUUGCACAGGUGCUGCAUGGUCGGCGUCAACU